rnacentral:lncRNA from 1 species
GGGGGACCGUAUGCCGUAAGGACAAGGCUUGGCUGGACCAUCAAUGGGCCACUUUCAGGAAACUGUGAAGCUACAGGUGAUCAGAAGCAUCCACAAGUUACAGUCAACAGAAUUUCUGUUGUCACGCUGGAGGAGCUUUGGCAGCAACAGUUCAAAAUUGACUUUCCUGAGAGCAAAGUUGAUGAACAGGUUGGAUUGUCAAGAGAGGAUCAGAGAUUUCUGGAAAUAGUGACUAACUCUGCCAAAUAUGUGGGUGGUCAUAUCCAGAUAGCAUUACCUUUUCGGAAUGCCAGUAUCAGUAUGCCAAACAAUAAGAAAGUUGUUCAACAACGUCUGCACUUUCUAAAAAAGAGAUUUGAGAGAGACACAGCGUUUCAUACUGAGUACAAAGUCUUCAUGAAUGAGCUCCUGGCUAAAGGUUAUGCUGAAAAGGUCCCGGAAGAGGAGAUCGAUCGCAAUGAUGGCAAGCUGUGGUAUAUACCACACCAUGGUGUUUACCAUCCGACCAAGAAGAAACUCAGAGUUGUGUUUGACUGUGGAGUGAGUUAUCAUGGAACAUCUUUAAACUCCCAACUCUUACAAGGACCUGAUCUUACAAGCUCUUUAAUAGGAGUGAUCACAAGAUUCAGGAAGGAGCCAGUUGUAAUUAUGGGAGAUAUUGAAUCCAUGUUCCAUCAAGUCAUGGUUCCAGCUGAAGAUAAAGAUCUAUUGAGAUUUCUCUGGUGGCCUAAAGGUGAUCUGGAACAACCAACAUCUGAAUACAGGAUGAAUGUACAUCUCUUCGGGGCAACUUCAUCACCAAGUUGCGCCAAUUUUGCACUCAGAAAGUGUGCGGAUGACUUUGGACAUCUCUACAGUGAGGAAGCUGUGAAGAAGUUGUUGCACUGUUUUUAUGUGGACGAUUGUCUUGUGUCCGUUGGAACUGAUGAGGAAGCAGUGUUAAUGUACCAAGAGUUGGUUUCUUUGUGUGCCAAAGGAGGGUUUCUGCUCAAAAAGUGGAUUACCAACAAGCCUGGAGUGCUGGAGGCCAUUCCUGAAAGUCACAGAGCAACAGGCAUGAAAGAGUUGAACAUGGAAUUGGAUUCCUCAAUGAUUGAGCGAGUUUUGGGUGUGGAGUGGUGCAUAAAAUCAGACUCCUUUAAGUUCAAGAUUUUGCUCAAGGACAGACCACUCACCAGAAGAGGAAUCCUUUCAAUUGUCAGUUCUAUCUAUGAUCCUCUUGGAAUGCUAAGUCCUGUGGUCUUAACUGCUAAGAAAAUCCUAAGAGAUCUAUGCAAGGAAGGAAUCGGCUGGGACGAUAAUGUACCAGAGCUGUUUUCCAAAAGAUGGUUAACAUGGCUCCAGCAGCUCCAGCUAUUGAGCAAGUUUGAAGUGAGUCGAUGUCUGAAACCUGAUGGAUUUGGAGAAAUCACGAGUGCUCAGUUGCACCAUUUCUGUGAUGCCAGUGAGGAUGGCUAUGGAACAGUGACCUAUCUGCUGAUUGAAAACAUCUGUUCAGAACAACACUGUGCGUUUGUUAUGG